GCAUAACGCGAAGAACCUUACCAAGGCUUGACAUCCCCUUGACCGGCACAGAGAUGUGCCCUCUCCUUCGGGAGCAAGGGUGACAGGUGGUGCAUGGUUGUCGUCAGCUCGUGUCGUGAGAUGUUGGGUUAAGUCCCGCAACGAGCGCAACCCUUAUCCUUAGUUGCCAGCAUUUAAGGUGGGCACUCUAAGGAGACUGCCGAUGAUAAAUCGGAGGAAGGUGGGGAUGACGUCAAAUCAUCAUGCCCCUUAUGUCUUGGGCUACACACGUGCUACAAUGGUCGGUACAAAGGGGAGCGAAGGAGUGAUCUGGAGCAAAUCCCAAUAAACCGAUCUCAGUUCGGAUUGUAGGCUGCAACUCGCCUACAUGAAGUCGGAGUUGCUAGUAAUCGCGAAUCAGAACGUCGCGGUGAAUGCGUU
rnacentral:rRNA from 1 species